rnacentral:rRNA from 1 species
UACUAAGAACUUUCCAGAGAUGGAUUGGUGCCUUCGGGAACUUAGAUACAGGUGCUGCAUGGCUGUCGUCAGCUCGUGUCGUGAGAUGUUGGGUUAAGUCCCGNAACGAGCGCAACCCUUUUCCUUAUUUGCCAGCGGGUCAUGCCGGGAACUUUAAGGAUACUGCCAGUGACAAACUGGAGGAAGGCGGGGACGACGUCAAGUCAUCAUGGCCCUUACGGCCAGGGCUACACACGUGCUACAAUGGUCGGUACAAAGGGUUGCUACCUCGCGAGAGGAUGCUAAUCUCAAAAAGCCGAUCGUAGUCCGGAUCGCAGUCUGCAACUCGACUGCGUGAAGUCGGAAUCGCUAGUAAUCGCGGAUCAGAAUGCCGCGGUGAAUACGUUCCCGGGCCUUGUACACACCGCCCGUCACACCAUGGGAGUUUGUUGCACCAGAAGUAGGUAGUCUAACCGCAAGGAGGACGCUUACCACGGUGUGGCCGAUGACUGGGGUGAAGUCGUAACAAGGUAAGCGUAGAUGA